CCUACGGGGGGCAGCAGUGGGGAAUAUUGGGCAAUGGGCGCAAGCCUGACCCAGCAAUGCCGCGUGAAGGAUGAAGGCUUUCGGGUUGUAAACUUCUUUGACAGGGGAAGAGCAGAAGACGGUACCCUGAAAACAAGCCACGGCUAACUACGUGCCAGCAGCCGCGGUAAUACGUAGGUGGCAAGCGUUGUCCGGAUUUACUGGGUGUAAAGGGCGUGUAGCCGGGAAGGCAAGUCAGAUGUGAAAUCUGGAGGCUCAACCUCCAAAUUGCAUUUGAAACUGGUUUUCUUGAGUACUGGAGAGGCAGACGGAAUGCCUUGUGUAGCGGUGAAAUGCGUAGAUAUAAGGAGGAACACCAGUGGCGAAGGCGGUCUGCUGGACAGCAACUGACGGUGAGGCGCGAAAGCGUGGGGAGCAAACAGGAUUAGAUACCCCUGUAGUC
rnacentral:rRNA from 1 species